AAUGCCCUAGAGAUAUUGUAGAUUGACUGCUGUGUCACGUGCAUGUCAUUAGGUGGGAGAGACAGGGAGAGGCUAUGCUAAGCUCAGUUUUCUGACCUGUGAAGAUCUAAACGUUUUAGUAGCAUAAAAUU